rnacentral:rRNA from 1 species
CCUACGGGUGACUGCAGUGAGGAAUAUUGGUCAAUGGGCGAGAGCCUGAACCAGCCAAGUCGCGUGAGAGAGUACUGCCCUAUGGGUUGUAAACCUCUUUUGUCGGGGAGCAAAAGCCGGACGUGUCCGGCUGUGAGAGUACCCGAAGAAAAAGCCUCGGCGAACUACGUGCCAGCAGCCGCGGUUAUACGGAGGAUGCGAGCGUUAUCCGGAUUUAUUGGGUUUAACGGGUGCGCAGGCGGAUUGUUAAGUCAGCGGUAAAAUCGUGGGGCUCAACCCCAUCCAGCCGUUGAAACUGGGGAUCUAGAGUGGGCGAGAAGUAUGCGGAAUGCGUGGUGUAGCGGUGAAAUGCAUAGAUAUCACGCAGAACCCCGAUUGCGAAGGCAGCAUACCGGUGCACAACUGACGCUCAGGCACGAAAGCGUGGGUAUCGAACAGGAUUAGAUACCCCGGUAGUC